rnacentral:rRNA from 1 species
UACGGGGGGGGGCAAGCGUUGUUUCGGAAUUACUGGGCGUAAAGGGCUCGUAGGCGGCCAACUAAGUCGGAUGUGAAAUCCCCAGGCUUAACCUGGGAACUGCAUCCGAUACUGGAUGGCUUGAAUCCGGGAGAGGGAUGCAGAAUUCCAGGUGUAGCGGUGAAAUGCGUAGAUAUCUGGAGGAAUACCGGUGGCGAAGGCGGCAUCCUGGACCGGCAUUGACGCUGAUGAGCGAAAGCUAGGGGAGCAAACGGG